AACGAACAAAAGAAGCUUAGAUCUACCCUAGGAAUGAAACAGGACCGACAGUUGGUAUGGUUUUUGAUGAAAAGCUCAACAACUUCACCUGGAGCAGUUAUGCCCACGUCAACCAGCAAUGCAGCUAAACCUGUUGGGCUGGAUGCAUCUUCCUCUGCCAUGACAAGGCUAAACAGGACUUUUUCAGUCAGUUAGGAAAACAAGUUCCUUGGAGGCUGCCAGUGGGCUUGGCUGGGCCAUUGAACCAAGAGUCCCAGCUGCAAAGAAUCUCAGCGGCAAUGAGACUUAAUUGGACUCUCACAUAUUUUAGAAGAGGUGAGCGAAGGUUAAGUUUGUUCCAUUUUGUUAGGUUUUUGUUGUAUGCUGGUGAAGAUUCUUAGUCAUCCAGGUCAUAGUCAUUCAACAUAUUCUCAUUAUUAGUUCGUAUGAAAUCGUAGGAAAAGUUAUGCACAGU